UUCUCGCUGAACAGGGACCUCCAGAAGGGCCAUGGCGCCACCAGCCCUUAAUCUCGCCGGAUCCGGCCGCCUGCACGCCAAAUCCGCCGGAAAUGGAUCCGUCCCGUCCAGAUCCGGCCGGAUCCGACCGGGCCCCGCCAUCCUCGUCACUGGAGCACCGCCCCGCUCGACCAACAGCGUCGGCGCUGUCUGUCCCUGCCCGCGUCUGCACGAGGACGACGCUCGUCCCGCUCGCUUGCAGCAAUCGCAUGGGCCGCCGCCCCAGCCGUCCCGGCAUCAAGCCAAGGCCCAGCCCAAGCCACAUCUUCUGCCGCUCCAUCAUUGCCCACCUUGAGAUCAGCCCCGACGCCACCACCAUCUUCAGAUGCGUACGCACACUACUUCCUUCUUCAAAUUGCUUCACCACAUCAUGCUGAAUUUGCAAAUGGCCACUCCUUACAUGUGUGAUCGAGAAGCAAGGUCAAGUAUGAGCAGGCUGUCAGCGUGUAGUGGUCGGAGAUGCCGUCGCAACUUACAUGUCGCAGUCGUCGGCUCCAUGCUAAGAUUACGAGGCUCUAUGGUUGUAUCGUGGUGUUCCAGUAGUAAACUUUCAGGCUGGUUAGAUAGGGGAUGAAGAUGAUGUAUACUACCUAACGGCCAUCGAGUAAUAAAAGGAGAUGGAUUGAACUACAUGAUUUAUGCCAUGGGAAUGAUGAAAAAUCUUUGAGUGAGGAUGUUGAAUAAUUCAGUCCUGAUCAAUGGCUUCUCAUAAAAGUCUUCCUGCCAGCAAGAGAGCCCUUGCAGAUUUAUAGCUUUUAGUGUAAUUAUUACAGAGAAGACAUGCUUAGAGGGCCUAUAAUUUUACUAAGUGAACAUGUACUGAUCUCUACAUGCUUUUUAUUAGAGUAUCGCUUUCAUGUUUUACUAAGAUCUGUGCGGAAACAACAUGAGCCUUUGCUGCUUGGUCUGGGAUGGUGAAGUGGUGGUUGCAGUGGAAAUCGUUAAAGGGGGCACCGGUGUCCUCAGUUAUACGGUUACAGAAUAUAUGGAGUCAUGCCCAACGUUGCAAGGGAGCCUGUAGUGGGAGGCGACAAAGUAUUGGCUGUUACCAUAGUAUCCAUAAUGAGUUGUGUCAACACCAACCUCAGAGCUGGAAUAAGGAGUGCGCAUUCGCAUUGAUGAAACAACUUUCCCAUAGCCCGCUGCUACUGCCCACUACCACAAUCUUGCAUAGAUACUUGGAAAUUUGUGGUGAUUCGUAAUCAAACUUGCAAAGAACAUCCUUCUGAUUAUGUUUGAAGAGGUACGAUGGAUGGUUGAGCUGAGACCACUGUUUGAUAUUUGUUUGCCUUUGCUUUGUAACCAGUGAGGGCUGAAGUGAAUGAAUCUGGAAGUGCUUUAGUGAUUAAUGCUCUGUCCCAAGUUAAGCAUAUUCUACUUCCGGUCACUGGCCGCAAGCCUUACCUUUCAGUUCUAAUUCCUUGAGAUCACCACAGUUGUGAAUAUAGCCAUUGUUUCAACAGAACAAACCUAAGCUUAGCAUGAAAGAGAGUAUGAAAGUUCUGAUCUCUUCAAAAUAUGUGAGGGGCCUUGCUACCUUAGUUGUUGCAUAUGGCAUUAUAAUCAAUUUUGUGUAAGUCACAUGGAAAUCGAAGCUCAAGGCACAGUUCCCCAGUCCAAACGAGCACUCAUCUUUCAUGGGUGAUUUCUCUACCGCAACUGGACUUGCAACUUUCAUGAUGAUGCUGUUAGGCUGGAUUACAUUCCAAAGAUUUGGUUGGGGGGUGGCUUCCAUUAUCACCCCCAUAGUUUUGUGGUGACUGGCGUUGGUUUCUUUUCUGACUUUCAACAAGUGCAGUUCAUUGCCGCAGAGCAGUCUUAGAAGAUCCGUGCACAUGUAGCCUUAUUUCUUAUUCCAAAUUUCAUCAUACAAAAAACAUACUCAGUGUAACCUCAU